AAGAAGAAGAGGAGCUUUAUUGAGUGACAGAAUAGCUCAGAGGACACCGUGGGGUGAAUAGCUCCUCUAUGCAGCUGGUCGUCCUGCCGUCUGCACCUUUCAGCAGAGAGGAGGCCCUGGAGUGAGUAGUUCCUCUCUGCAGCCGGUCAUUCUGAUAUCUGCUCAGCUCUGGCUGAGCCUGGGGCUUUCAUGGGCCUCAGAGGUGAGGAAGUGUAUGCCGAUUGGUCCAUGGGUGGCCAAGGGCAGGCCUGGAAAAGGCACCACAAGUUCUCACUCCAGUACGUGGGACUAGCAGCCUGAUCCUCAGCCUUCAGGCACUCCCUGGCCUGAAGGUGGGGCCUCACCAGGAAAUGGCCCCCUUCCGCCCAGGAACCUGUCUGCCUCUCACUGCUGUUCGUGGUGCCCAGGCCGUAGGUGCCAAGGGGUGGCUGUAGGUGCCACGGGGUGGCUGUAGGUGCCACGGGGCGCCUGCAGGCCAGCACCGAGAUGCCCUCAGUGCCCCCCUUGGCUUCCCUCCUAUGCUCCUUGGUGCCCAAAUUCCAGAGGGGACCUAGGUGGCAGGGGGUUGGCAUGUCAGCACUGCUCUGAGUGCGUGCACACCCAACCAGCACCUGGGCUCAGCCCCGACUUUGCUUUGAGAUCGGAGCAGUCACCAACAGCAGGGAGAAGCCAGGCAGUGAGAGCAGGCAUUCCCAAGCCUGUGAGAGCAGGGAUGGGGCCUUCUUGGGCCUCCAGGAGUACAGGGAUACCUGGGUCUGCAGCCAUGGUUUGGGCAGCUGCAGCUGCACCCAGGAGGGUGGGGCUCCUGCCUGCUCAGUGGAGUGCGCAGCCCAGCCGCGCCUCCCUGUUGCAGUCAGCAUGAUGGCAGUGGUGCUCUAGACAGGAUACUGCUGCCGUCACUAAGUUCAACUCCCACCUCACCAUCCAUACAUCCCCAAUCAGCAAAUACCCUACUUUUCUUUUUAUGUAUUUUAAAAUAUGAGUUUGCCUUUUUUUUUUUUUUUUUUUUUUUGAGACAGGAUUGCACUGUGUCAUCCAGGCUGGAGUGCAGUGACACAAUCAGAGCUGACUGUUGCCUCAAACUCCUGAGCUCAAGCGAUCCUUUCAUCUCAGCCUCCUGAGUAGUUGGGACUACAGGUGUGCACUACUACGCCUGGCUAAUUUUUGUAUUUUUUUGUAGAGACAGCAUUUUGCCAUGUUUCCCAGGCUGGUCUCAAACUCCUGGGCUCAAGCAAUUCACCUGCCACCAUCUUUUCUGCCAGCCGUUUUCUCAUUUCUAGGGGAGAAGUUGAUCAGCUGUGAUCUUGCUUCUCUCUGAAGUACGUGUUUAGUGGCCAUACUGAAUGAGUUUGCCCUGCACUGUCCUGGCCUGUUCCUUGCAGACAUGGCUUCCCUCCAGCUUCCCUAGCCCUCCUGCAUACCCACAAUUCCAUGAUGAAGAUGUCUGGAAACCAUGGGUUCUCAGCUGUCACAGUGAGUUUAUUGAUAUCACCAUAUUCUUCUGGGUCCCAGCUGCUGAGUGGGUUUUCCCAGAUCUAGAGCACAGGGCACAGAAGGAUGUGGUAUGGUUGAAGUCUGGAACUGGCUUAUGUCAGCCAUCUCCUGCCCUUCCAUUCCUUUACAAAUAUAUACAUAUGUAUUUUUUUCUAAAUGUAGGUGCUAUGGGCUUAUGAUGAAACUUUAACAAUUCCGCAAUGGUGUAAUAUAUAAAGCAACAUUCUCCCUCCUCGAUUCACCCCAAUUCAGUCCCUGUCCCACCUCAGUCUCAUUAUUAACACUUUCUUGUGUAUCAUCAAAAAUAAAUAAUAAUACAUAUUCC
rnacentral:lncRNA from 10 species